ACCGGCGGCUCGAGUGGUGGCCACUAUUACUGGGCUUAAAGCGUUCGUAGCUGGCUUGUUAAGUCUCUGGGGAAAUCUUCCGGCUCAACCGGAAGGCGUCUCAGGGAUACUGGCAGGCUAGGGACCGGAAGAGGUGAGAGGUACUCCAGGGGUGGGAGUGAAAGGCUGGGCUCCGUGGGGGACGACCGGUGGCGAAGGCAGCUCACCAGGACGGCACCCACAGUAAGGCACGAAAGCUGGUAGAACAAAGCG
rnacentral:rRNA from 1 species